rnacentral:lncRNA from 1 species
AAAAAUUUCUCCUUAGACAUGUCAAGUUUCUCUAAACUGGGACGAACAUCUGUUUUCUGGGACCAUUGCUCUGAGGACAUUGAAAUAUCUCUAAAAUGGGAUAAAUAACUUGUGCAAGGUUUAUGCAUAGUAAAGAAAAUUAUGGUUGUAACAGCUUGAAUAGGACAUGUCACAGAGCUGAGUCUGAUGUACUUCCUACAACCACUGCCUACAGGUCCUCAGGGAACAUUAAUGGAUUCGUCUGAGUCACGGUCACAGAACUGGGCCUCAUUCAGGACAUCCAU